GCCUUCGUGGUGUAGUGGUUAGCACACUCGGCGCGUAUUCGAGAGGUCCAAGGUUCGAGUCCCGGCGAGGGCA
rnacentral:tRNA from 1 species